rnacentral:lncRNA from 1 species
AUAAAUGGAGGACCAAGACACUUUUGAGAAUGCAGCAUGAACAAGGCACUAAACAUUUUUAAGGAGCUAUACAAAAAGGGUAGGGGGACAGUUAGGACAACCUAUUUUCUGUGGCAAACUGCUUGGACACAGACUAGUUCACGUAACAGUUUUCGGAUAUUUAGGCACUGAUGUGAUGUGCUUUGGUGAGUCCUGUGUGAAGUACUGUGGAAAUGGCUACAAUCACUGCUCAUGCUUACAUUUGAAUAAAAUAAGAUGUUAACAACAAAUUUCCUUCUAUAAUACAAAACAGAUUUGUCCUCUGUGAAAUCAGAACUUCUCCAAGAAGAAAACAUCACCCAGCGCUACUAAGGAUUCACAAAGACGUUCUUGGAAACAGCUGUCAAACAUGUCACUCAUUUCCUCUCUCAACUCCCUCAGCAGAAGCACUGUGGACUUACCAUCUGCAUUCAGAAUUUGCCGGAAAAAUUUACCCCAGAAAUCAGAGCCAACAGUCUUGGAUACAUUUUGGCUGAUUUUCCAAACGGAGUUCUCCUGAUAGACCUGGACAUGCUCACCAAACAGCAUCAAAUGGGCUAUAUCUGCU